rnacentral:rRNA from 1 species
CCCUUAGAUGUCCUGGGCCGCACGCGCGCUACACUGAUGCAUGCAACGAGUUUAUAACCUUGGUCUGAAAGGUCUGGGUAAUCUUUUGAACGUGCAUCGUGAUAGGGAUAGAUUAUUGCAAUUGUUAAUCUUGAACGAGGAAUUCCUAGUAAACGCGAGUCAUCAGCUCGCAUUGAUUACGUCCCUGCCCUUUGUACACACCGCCCGUCGCACCUACCGAUUGAAUGGUUCGGUGAAGAUCUCGGACUUCGAUAUUUAUUCUUUAUUGAGUUUAUAUUGUGGGAAGUUAUCUAAACCUCAUCAUUUAGAGGAAGGUGAAGUCGUAACA